UACGUAGGGGGCGAGCGUUGUCCGGAUUUAUUGGGCGUAAAGAGCUCGUAGGCGGUUCGGCAAGUCAGAUGUAAAAACUCCAGGCUCAACUUGGAGAGGCCAUCUGAUACUGCCGUGACUAGAGUCCGGUAGAGGAGCACGGAAUUCCUGGUGUAGCGGUGAAAUGCGCAGAUAUCAGGAGGAACACCGAUGGCGAAGGCAGGUCUCUGGGCAUUAACUGACGCUGAGGAGCGAAAGCAUGGGGAGCGAACAGG
rnacentral:rRNA from 1 species